ACAGGCAGAAGCUCCUCCCCUUGCUGCUCCGUCCCCGCCGCCGGUGGCGCCGCCAUGGAGGGCGGCGUGCGGCUACGCGCGGGUGCUUCCAAAUGGGAUGUCCGGGAGAAGGUGUGGGAAUACCUGGAGAGCAGCGGACUGGCCGAUUUCCCGCGGCCGGUGCACCGCCGUAUCCCCAACUUCAAGGGUUCUCACCAGGCUUGCUGCUCUAUUAAAGAUCUGGAUAUAUUCAGCAGAGCACAUGAGAUUAAGGUGGAUCCUGACAAACCUCUGGAAGGCGUUCGUCUGGCUGCACUGCAGGCAAGGAAGACUCUGUUGGUUCCCACACCCCGUCUGAGAACUGGACUCUUCAAUAGGAUUGUCCCACCUCCAGGUGCAACUAAGGAGAUCCUGCGGACAUGUGCCACAUCUCAGGGGAUAAAAGAAUACAGCGUUCCUGUGGGUCUUGAUGGGAAAGCACGAGUGGACUUGGUUGUUGUAGGAUCAGUGGCUGUCUCUGAGAAAGGCUGGAGAAUUGGGAAAGGGGAAGGUUAUGCAGAUAUGGAAUAUGCCAUGAUGGUGUCAAUGGGUGCAGUACAGAAGGAUACACCUGUAGUUACAGUUGUACAUGACUGUCAGGUGCUUGACAUAGCAGAAGAGCUGCUUGAUGAUCAUGAUUUAACUGUGGAUUAUAUACUCACUCCAACAAGAACUAUCAAAACUAAUUGCAAACGACCAAAACCUCAGGGAAUAAUGUGGCAUAAGGUCAGCUAUGAGAUGCUGGAAAAAAUCCCCAUCCUAAAGAGUCUUCGCUGCAAAGAGAAAGAGGCUGGCAAGGACGUUACCCUCAGAGACGAGCGCUCAGACUCGGCACACUCCGACAGGCCAGCAGCCGUAGAUGAGCAGGCAGCGGCUGAGGGUGCGAGAGCUCAGGCUGCUGCAGGCUCAGCUCAGCUAGGACCACACUCUGUUGAAAGUGAUGCUUUAAGUCCCAGCUUAGAGGGAUGUGGCACAAUAACUACUGUGUACGUGGGGAACAUACCUCCCAGCCUGAGAGUGAGCGAGCUGAAAUGCGCUUUGAGGGAGUUCCGCGCAACUCCUUUACGACUCAACUGGCAAGGAGCACAGCACAGGGCUUUUCUCGAUUACAAGGAUAAAGCAGCUGCAGAGAGUGCUGUAUCCUCUUUGAAAGGCUUGAGCCUCAGGGGCAGUACUUUGCGAGUUGAGCUGGCCAAGAAUCAGAGAAACAAAGGGCAAGUAGAAAUCAAUAGUGAGUAAUGAGCGUGAAUAGAGGGGAAAAAGAAGCACGCUUGUGUUGUUUAGUGGGAAACCAACCUAAACUUUCACGGCUGUUAGUGUAUCCUCUGCUUUAUGCAGGCUAAACAACGAUGCAGAGCCAGCCCUUCAGACAAAUGAGUUUCCUAUUCCUGAAAAACAAGUUGAAUUUUGGCUGAACCAUCCUCUCUAAACAGAAGCACUUUUGCCAUCCAUGCUGGGCACGUAGUCAAAGUAAGCAUCUAAAUGGAUAUUUUUUUUUUUAACUAUGAGUUGGAAACUUUUUUUAGCCAGAGGGUACUGUUAAGUAUAUUUUAAGCAUGUCAUUAUGCGUCAAGGGUCAGGCAUUUUCUACAGGAUUAAAUGCAAAGUUCUCAUCAUUAGCAUGGACUCUGCAGAGAGGGGCUGAAGGAGAGUGUUUCUUCAAAUCUUUGGAAGGUCCCACGAAGGAAAAGUUGCUGAAAAACAGUAGUGUGGUGCUCUAAAAUACUCUUUUCCCCUCCCCCCCCCAGCUCAGAACUAUUUUCAGUAUCACUUAGUCUGAAUUAAAACAUGAGUGCUGCACAGUUCUCUGCAUCUUGUCUGGGUAGUGGAGCACUUCAAGGGGAAGAGUGAGGGGUUAUGUUACUACUUAAACAUACUCAUUACAUCAUGAGCUUAGAAAGUGGAGGAAAGAAAAGCAGACAAAUAAUCACUGCUUUUCCUUCCAGAUGAUGGCAAACUAAGUAAUGUGAUCAUUUGGUGUUAUUUUUGACUCUUGCAAUACAGCUUGCUUUGGUGAAGAUGCCCAGGUGACCUCAGCAGUUAAAAAGGAGUUCCUCUGCCAAUGAAAACUUCCAGCAUCUCAAUCUUUCUCAGAUUGAACCAACACUUUCUGCUCAGAUUUGUGGGAAUUUCAUCCUCUGCCAUCUUUCCUUUCUUAGCAUCUGAAGUUUCAGUGCAGAUAUGUUUACAUGAUAGGUAAAUGUUCUAUUUUCUCUCAACACUGUGCAGUCAGUGGCUGGGUUUGGCUGGACAAAUACAUCUGGAUUAUUUUCUGUUUGAAGCUGUGGUUCUGCACAUAACCCACAGUCUGUGCUAGGUCUGCAUCCAGGUGGGCAGAUCUCUUUGGAUCUCUUCCAGCCUCUCCCUUUUUUUCUCUGUCAUGUAUCAUGAGGCCACAUUUCCCAGUGCCACCUCAUAUCUUCUUGCUUUCUCUAUAGAGAAUUAAUCAUCCAAGCCACAGUAUGGAGAAGGCAACUAGACAGAGGCAUGCAGCUGUGGUUAGAGAAGAUAAAUAAUUACUGUAAGCUUCAGCACCAUUCAUUAGCAUUUUAAGAGGACUGGAAUAAUGAUGUUGAUGCUAUAAUAAUUGUAUUUCCAACUUAAGAGGUCAGGUUUUGAUCCAGGUUAUUAAUAAAUAACAAGGUUUUUUGGUCCUUGCCAUCUUAAAGUCGUUAAA